GGAUCUCUUAGGGCCAUAUUCACCCCGCAAAUACCCGGCCUGGUUAGUGUGGCAGGGAAUGUAUUAUCCGUACUGGGGGAUGAGUUUCAGUCCCCUGAGAGUCCUUGAGGGUCCCCAACACCCCUGGGCAGCCCCUCCAUGGGUGGUUAAAGAGCAGAGCGCCCCCAGCCACCUGGGCAGCAGGAAGUGCUGCUCCCGGCCCUGCAAGGAUUCCGAGUAGCCUGUGGAGUAGGCGCCCGCACUGGGAGCACAGCCCAAGGGGACCUGCUGGGGCUCGGGGCUGGGCGGCCUCCAGCAGAUUGGACGCCAGGAAGAUCGCCUCUGUAGACUGCAAGGCGCCUAGGCUCCAGACCCGGCUCUCCAGGAGACCCCAACGCCCUUUUAACUGCAGCCUGGCUCAGGUGCGUGUGGAGUGUGCAGAGUGCGGCAGUGGAGACCUGUGUCACAGGGGAAGAAAUGGAGUCACCCAUGUCCACAUGACGACAUAGCCCUGAAGAGGAGACGAGCCCAGGCCGCCCCUUGCAGCGCUCGGUUCUCGUCUGAACUCGCCUUUCUGACCGCAUUUGAGUCCUCUUUCCCCACCGAUCCCGCAGAACCCCACUGUCGGUGGUGAAACACAGGCCCAGAGCAUGAGGCACACAGCUAGAAAUCGAAGACCCUUCGCUGCUAAGGUUACCCGUUCUGGUUCGUCUCCCCCACACUCUCUGCUAAAGAAAAACUAAGAAAGAGAGAGAGGCAGCCUUAUCCAUUCUUUGGUUUGUAACAGCCUGCAAAAUACAAAAUCUAUUUAAGUUAACCGUGCAUCUCGGAGAUUGUUCCACCAUUACCCCAGGUGGCGAUUUGUUCUCGGUGAUCUUGGUUAAGGAUAUGGCAGAAUUUCCUUCCUCUUUGAGGCUGAAUAAUAUUCCAUUGCAUGGAUGGACCACACUUUGCUAUCCAUUCCGCUGUCGUUGGACACUCGGCUUGUUUGCACCUCUUGGUUGUCGUGAGUCAUGUGGCUGCCGCCUUCGUCCUGAUGGCUGGGCAGUGCUCCACUGAGGUAGAGAGCAAGGUUAGAGCACAGGCUUCGGAGCCAGAGGGACACAGGUUGGAAUCCCGCCUCCACCCUGGGACACUCUGUGGAACCUCGGGCACAUAUAAGUGUUCAAGAAGGAGACCUGUCGUUGCCCUCACUAUGGCCAUCUCUGGGAGAGGUUCUCCUCAAAGCCGUAGCCACAGCUCGUCCCCUGAGUGGUCCUGCUCUCAGCAGCCCUAAGGCUCCCCGCUACCUCCUUCGCUUGGCGCUCUGGGCCCCCCGACCUGUCUCAGUCUGUAUCGGCCUUCCAUUCACACUGCACCACACUGAGCGGGGGAACAGACUCUCCCCUUCAUCUGGCCCUCGGCGCGGACUGCCGUGUGUGCAGGUGUCUGCCCUCCACACCGAGGGGACCAGGUCACCUGUGGAGUCACUUGCCUCCAGAACGUUCCAGCCAUUAUCUGAAGACAUCAGGCUGGGGGGCAGCUCUGCCCUCAAGCCCCAGGACCCUCCAGCUGCCAAAGCAGGGAGGUUUUCUCGGAGCAGCCGUUCUCUCGUUUGCCUUUUCACAUUCUGGGGUUCAGAGCACUGGACCAGGAGUCAACACACUCAAGCUUUCAUGUCACCCUGUGCCAGCCUGUUCUGUGGAUUCAGACAAGCCCCUUGCCUCUAUGGUCCUCCUUUUCCUCUCUGGAAAAUGCAGGAGUUGACUGGAUGGUCUCGAAAUGCUCCCCCAGUGUACCGAGGCUCUGAUUUCCAUCUGCCUCCUUUGGUCAACGUUCAUUUAUCCUUCUACUCACCCACCCACCAUCCAAUGACCUCUCUUUAUUCUUUCAUCUUCACUGGUGUUUCUUCUCAUUUCAAUGUGUCAUGCUUGCACGUGGCAAAAUUAUCAGGGUAGGGCUUAGAAGGCAAACAUCCCUCUUAGUCACAUCCUCUAUCAGUGGAUCUCAAUGGGGGAGGGGGUGGGUGCCUCCCAGGGACAUUUGGGGAUGUCUGGAGACAUUUUUGGUUGUCACAGCCUGGGGGUGGGGAGGCCAUGCUACUACUGGCAUCUAACGAACAGAGGCCAGGGGUGCUGCUCAACGUCCUGCGGUGCACAGGACAGGCC
ensembl:lncRNA